AUGUGGGCAUCUGCAACAUGGAAACCAGAUGGCCGUUUUUCUUGAAUCUGCUUUGUUCUCCUUUCACAGCCUCUUUACAAAAGCUGCCCAGAAGAGGAUGCUCCAGGUCGGUUCAGCAUGCAAAACCAGCAGAAUCCGGUUAUCUAAGAAGCUCUAAAUCUACAACCGCAAUCUCACUUUCCCUGGCUCCAUACUUCACCUUCCUGUCUGUCCCCGGCACAGCCGGCCGGCCCUUACCCUCCACUUUUGCCCGCUUACCUCAGUGUCUCUACGGCCAAAACAGCCAACCACAACAAGGCUUCCACUGGCAGGAAACAGUCUUCACACUCUUGGGAUUUCCUAUUAUGUGAUGUGCAACCUUUUCCAGAAACAAUCGAACCUAAAAAUAGAAACUGCCUGGAUUCACCUUCAUCUCAAUACAAUGACUCCGUGGCUGGCUGCUGUAACUGGCCUUGAAGCAGCGCCAGGCACUUUGAAAUCCCGGAGGCUCAUCGGUGUGAAUGAAGGAAGCGCUUCCAGGGACUCCCAAGCGAGGGGAGGGUGCUGUUUACUUACUCCCUAGUCUUUGUUAUUUUGUUGGCUUUUGCCUGGAAAACCUGGGUAGGAGGAAGGAAAGCAAGAAGGGGAUCAGAGGGGUGCGGAAGAUUAGCAAGCACAAUUGGCGACCCUGGGGAAAGACUCCAGAGGAAUUAGGUGAGCUUUUGAAGGAGGGGGUCGAACUGGAGAAGAGAGGGAAGGAGAAGCAGGUUGAAACAGGAUUUUCCGGGCCCACGUAGUGGGAGUGUCUGGGCUUUCACAGCUGGAUCCUGGCUUCCAGAAAUGGAGCAGAAAGGAGAAUUGGUCCGUCUUCAAGUCACUACCGGGGUCAGCAGUGACUGUUUCUCUCUCACAAUCCCCUGAGAAGUUCCCAUUCUCUUCUGUGUGGAGGAGGAGAUGGAGGAAGGGGCAAAAACUUAGUGAGGACUUGAGCUCGAGUCCCAGCCAUCUGAGACAAGCCAAGAAGCGGUAGUGAAUCAGCGUACACUGACCCAUCCAUAAAGAUCCCACCCCACUGGAGUGUGUGACCCUGGGAGAGAAGCUGGGAGUUCUCAACAGUGAUGCUAAGAGCCAUGACCUGGAAAUUCAAAAGCAAAUAGAGAAGAGAUGAAGAAGACCCAGGAGACCCGAGCUUGAAGUUAUCCUAGGAGAAACAACCUGAGUAUAAGUUCUUCCCAGGUUCAGCUCAGAGUCAAACAGCCUGUCUUCUAACCCCGUUUCCUCCCAUCACCAGCUGGGUGACUUCGAAGUCCUUAUUUCCUUCAGUGCUCAUUGAAGGAACUCCAAACACUUCUCCUUCCCAAUGCGCAUGAUUUGACGCUUCAUCAGUAGAGGGCGCUAAAGAGACACUACAGGAACAAGGGGCUUUUCUCUUGGUUUUACUCCUGGUGUCUGACCUCCAACAGUUCAUCAGCCGUGAAAUGUGCCAUAAAGAUCUCUACAGUGUUCAAUCCUUCUCCCGGAUCCUCUGCCUGGACUCAGGGACCCCUUGCCUUCACCCUUGUGACAUACCAGUUUUACACCUACAGUAAAGUCCGACCUCCUGACCACUUUCCUACUUCAGCUGGCUGACUGGGCAGGACUUUGCUUCUUAAAGCUCUCCCUGCAUGAAUGCUUCACACCUUACACUCCCUAGUGUGUGUGGUAGGUAAACAGCCUUACCUUUUAUGUCCUUCCCUUCUUGCAUGGCAAGUAUGAACAUGCACCUACCAGAUAGUCUAGUGUCCCUAACUACUGGCUAUUGUGCCUCACUCAAGCUUUCUUCUUCAACGAUGUCAAAAGCCCAGCCUUAGGGAGAGCCCCUAUUUCAGGGUUGUUUUUCUUGCUAUUCUCCCUCAGAUAUAGGGUACCCUUCAGAGGCAACUUUACACCUCCACAGCUAUUAUUUUAAUAAUUCUGUAUAUUAAAUUUCUGUUAUUUUAAAUUACUAUUUAAUUUUCUGUUUCCCAAAGUAGGCCCAAUGCCAUGGGUAGGGGUGCGUGGUAAAGUCAUGGAGAGACAGAAAAAUCAUGUAGCCUUGCUGGAGAUCUAUAACGUAACAGUUCAGGUGUUCUUGACAAAAUAUCAGGCCUGAUUCUUGUCCAGCCUUGGAUCUAAGCAAACAUUUGGGAGGAAAGGAACACAUUAAACGACACCAUCAGAUAUAGUCACAAGAUCAAGGCUCAAGAAAACAUCAUAAGAAGAACAAUCAGAAUUCUCCAAUGACAGAGGAGAGAAUCUGCCUGCCAUCUGUCUGUCUGUCUGUCCAUCUAUUCAGCUACCUUUCAUUUGUCUGUCUAUGGCUUUUUAUCCAAUUAGAAUUAAGGACUUCAUUGUACACUGAUUCUGGUUAAAAAAAUAUUGGAGGCAAAUGAAUUUAACUGUCUGGACAUUUGAUAUUAUCUUUUUUAAAAAAGUAAGAGAUAAUGAAGGAAAUAUUUGUUGACAUU
ensembl:lincRNA